rnacentral:rRNA from 1 species
AUGAAGUCGCUCUCGUGGUCCAAGGCGGCGCCGGUCACGGAGACGGCCAUCCGCGCCGCUGUUGGCGACAAUGCUGUAACUAGAAAGGUUGUGCGCUGGUUGCUGAAGCAGAAGAGAGGGUUGCAUCGUGCGGGCACUGGUGGCCGCCCGGAUCCGUAUGUGUACAUGGUACGUGAAAUUUGUGCCACACAGUUUGCGUUUGGAUGA